rnacentral:tRNA from 1 species
UCCCUGGUAGCUUAGACGGUAAAGCGUCUGCUUACAAUGUGGGAGACCUGGGUUCGAUCCCUGGGUCGGGAA